rnacentral:miRNA from 1 species
ACUCGCAUCCUUCCCUUGGCAG